rnacentral:rRNA from 1 species
AGUGGAGCCUGCGGCUUAAUUUGACUCAACACGGGAAACCUCACCAGGCCCGGACACCGGAAGGAUUGACAGAUUGAGAGCUCUUUCUUGAUUCGGUGGGUGGUGGUGCAUGGCCGUUCUUAGUUGGUGGAGCGAUUUGUCUGGUUAAUUCCGAUAACGAACGAGACUCUAGCCUGCUAACUAGGCGUAUUUCGACAUCCCAAAGGCCCGCCGGUUCGGGGUUUCGGCCCCUUACCGGUUGCGGUUUUUACUGUCGGCGUACAAACAAUUCUUCUUAGAGGGACAGGCGGCUUCUAGCCGCACGAGAUUGAGCAAUAACAGUCUAAAGAUACCGACUGAAUUCCCCCCUG